GAGCAUGCCCAGUAGCACAGUCGACCGGAGGAGUUUUUUUUCUUUUCUUUUUUUCUUUUCUUUCGUCUUUUUUCCUCUCUUUCUUCUUCUUUUUCUUUUUCUGGCUCUCCAGUAGGAGGCCUGUCCCCCACCUUCCGCUCAGACCCCCGUCAUCCCCGGACCUGAGCAGCUAACCAUGGCCGAGGUGCCCGGCGCCGCGUUGUCCCAGGCGGGUUGGUAUCUUUCAGAUGAAGGUAUUGAAGCGUGUACAAGCUCUCCUGGCAAAGUUAAUAUAAAUGACAUCAUCCUGAUUGCUCUCAAUACAGACUUGAGAACAAUUGGCAAGAAGUUCCUUCCCAGUGACAUCAACGGUGGAAAGGUGGAAAAGCUUGAAGGUCCAUGUGUAUUACAAAUUCAGAAGGUCCGCAAUGUUGCUGCACCAAAAGACAAUGAGGAGUCGCAGGCUGCACCAAGGAUGCUUCGUUUGCAGAUGACUGAUGGGCAUACCAGUUGUACGGCAGUAGAGUUCAGUUAUAUUUCAAAGAUCAGUCUGAACACACCGCCUGGCACGAAAGUGAGGCUUUCGGGCGUCGUUGACGUAAAGAAUGGAUUCCUGCUCCUGACUGACUCUAACACCACAGUUCUUGGUGGUGAGGUGGAACAUCUGAUUGACAAGUGGGAGUUACAGAGAAGCUUAUCAAAACAUAAUAGAAGCAAUAUUGGAACUGAAGGUGGUCCACCUCCUUUUCUGCCUUUUGGACAGAAGUGUACAUCUAAUGUCCAGGUGGAUAGCAGAGAACUUGAUCGAAGAAAGACGUUGCAAGUUUCAAUGCCCGUCAAGCCCACAAAUGAUAAUGAUGAAUUUGAAAAGCAAAGAACGGCUGCAAUUGCAGAGGUCGCAAAGAGCAAAGAAACCAAGACAUUUGGAGGAGGUGGAGGUGGUGCCAGAAGUAAUCUCAAUAUGGGUGCUGUCAGUCACCGAAAUAGGGAAGUUUUACCGAAGGAAAGGCCUUCCAAAUCAGAGAGCAAGCAUGAAGGUGUCUAUAGAGAGCUGGUAGAUGAGAAAGCUCUGAAGCACAUUACAGAAAUGGGCUUCAGUAAGGAAGCGUCGAGGCAAGCACUUAUGGAUAAUGCCAACAACUUAGAAGCAGCAUUGAAUGUACUCCUAAACAGCAAUAAACAGAAACCCGUUGUGGGUCCACCUCCUAGAGGUAGAGGGAAAGGCAGGGGUCGUUCACGAUCUGAAGAUGAAGAGGACCUAGGAAACGCAAGGCCGUCAGCACCAAGCACAUUAUUUGAUUUCUUGGAAUCUAAAAUGGGAACUUUGAAUGUGGAAGAACCAAAGUCACAACCACAGCACCUUCAUCAAGGACAACACAGAGUGUCAAAUACUGAACAAAAUGGGAUAAAAGAUAGCAAUCAAUCAAAACAUCUUCCUCGAAACGAUACCAGGCAGCCGAGAAAUGAGAAACCUCCUCGUUUUCAAAGAGACACCCCCAAUUCGAAGUCAGCCUUAGAAAGCAGUGUUUUAUCUAGAAACAGAGGCUCUGAAAGACCGGGUGGUUCUUCUGGUCCUGAAGUGUGGGCAGAAGAGAGGAUCAAGUGCGAUAGACCAUAUUAUAGAUAUGACAGAACUAAAGACACUUCAUAUCCGUUAAGUUCUCAGCACAAUGAUGGUGCUUUUAGAAAAAGAGAUAACUCUAUGCAGAACAGAUCAGGAAGAGGUCCAUUGUAUACAGAGGCAAAAGAAAACCCACUUCCUCAAGAAUUCAUAGACUAUAAUAAUCAAAAACGUGGGAAAAGAGAAAACCAAACAGGUAAUCCUGAUCAUUUUUAUGACAGGAAAUCACGGACAAUGAAUAAUGAAGCUUUUAGUGGUCUAAAAAUUGAAAAACAUUUUAGUGUAAAUACUGACUACCAAAAUCCUGUUCGAAGUAAUAGUUUUGUUGCUGUUCCAAAUGGAGAGACAGAAAUGCCACUGAAAGGAAGACGCGUAGGACCAAUUAAGCCAACAGGACCUGUCACAACUGUGUCCUAUGAUGAUAAAGUAUUUUAUAAUAGUGGGCCUAAAAGAAGAUCUGGGCCAAUUAAGCCUGAGAAGGUGAUAGAAUCAUCUAUUCCUGUGGAGUAUGCAAAGAUGUGGAAACCUGGAGAUGAGUGUUUUGCACUUUAUUGGGAAGACAACAAGUUUUACCGAGCAGAAGUUGAAGCCCUCCAUUCUUCCGGCAUGACCGCAGUUGUUAAGUUCACUGACUACGGCAACUAUGAAGAGGUGCUGCUAAGCAAUAUCAAGCCCAUUCAGACAGAGGCGUGGGGCAGUCACACCUGAUGACAUUUGUUGCUCCUCUCUGAAACUCCCCCAUUUAGAGGUGUUUGGUUCUGAAGUGCUACAGGCAAUACUUUGACUGUUCUGCCUUAAUAGUCCUCAUGGCACUUACCUUGAUUUUAUUUGUGUAAGCAUAACUGGAUGAUGGUUUUUAUCAGAUAUCUUAGAUGGUUCAGUGAUUAUGUUGGGAACCACAAUACACUGUUGAAUACUCAUUUAUGAUUUACCUCUACUUAUUUUAAGCUUGAAUUACAUGCCUAAACUAUUUUUGCAGAAGCAGGAUAAAAAUCACUGCAUCUUCUGGAGAUUUUGCCAUUCUUUUCUCCUAUAGAAUAUUUUUGCAUAAAUUAAUGUAACUGGAUCAUGGGCCUCAUUGCCAGGGGAAAGAUCAGCCAUUCUGUCUACAAGAGUAGUUAUUUGACAGAAACAUCUCUUUGAAAUACAGAUGCCACCAGCUUAACAAUUCUUUUUUAUCUCCAUUUAAACAAUAUCUAUGUGUGCAUAGAUCGUACAUAAGCAGCCACUGCAGCAAUACAAUCUAUGCAGAUGUCAGUGCAUGUGAUGUAGAGUCAAGGCAGAGUCAGUUCUCUGAGCUUCCGAGAGUGUUUGUGUUGCAAUCCACGAGCACCUUUCUGUAUGUUGGGACUGUAUCAAAGUUAAGUUAAUCAAAGUUCCACAAAAUUAUAAGCAAAAUGUUCACUGCACCAAUAAGAAGGCAAUUCUGGACUGCAGAAUUAAAGGUCUGCAAGGUGCAGAGAAUUUAAGGGGCCUUAGCACAUCUACACUGUGGAUGAUCAAACUUUCAGUUUUUAAAUUCUUGCACUGCAUAUGCGUGUUUGUAUUUUUAUGUGAAAUAGUGUGUUUAUUUGCUUAAGGUUCAUGUUUGUUACUGGCAAAAAAAUGUUGGAAAUCUCUUAAGUUUUCCAAAAAUACCAAUGAUCAUUUAGCUAAGAUGUUUUUAAGUAAAGUGCAGAACAACCAAAAACAGCUUGAGUAUAAACCAAAAAAGCCUUUAUAAAAAACAGUUGCUUGUACUGCUUUUCAAAGAUGUAAGGAUAAAUCAUAAGUACAAAGCAUGAAAUAUUUAGAGACAUAAAGACUAAGUUAAUAGUCGGUUGUAUGGAAAAUUAAAAUAAAAGUUAAUGCUUUAAAUCUAAGUGUUAAUGUUUUUCUCAAGAGGUUUAUGGGUUAUUUCUCUUACAUAUGUUGGUAGAAUGAAUGUCUAUCUGUUUUUCUUCCAAUCUGGAUAUGCCUACCUUUUCAUUUCUAGGACACAUUCAGAGAUGAUACUUUAGAUACUCAAAAUAUAUGUUCUGAUUUUCACUGAAUACAUUAUUCUUUGAAAAUGAUUUAUUUGACAUCUUGAUGUGUUAACCUUGAACUUUUGUUUUUAUUACAACUAGAGUUCACCUGGCUCUUUUUACUACUGUAGGAUUUGUUGUUGUUUUGUUUUUUCUUUUCUAAUUUUUUUAUUAAAAAUUAAUUUUUAAUACAGUAUAUUCUGAUUGCGAUUUUUCCUUCUCCAGUUCCUUCCACAUCUUAUCUACUUCUCUUCCCACCCAAAUUCACACCUUUUCUUUCUCUCCCGCAUUAGAAAAGAAAACAGGCAUUUAAAAAUAAAAUUAAAAUAAAUUAAGAUAAAGUAAGUCUUAAUACCUAACAUGUAAUGAACUUUCUAAUUAUCAUGUAUAAUGUGACAUUUACAGUUCACUUUGAACCAUAUAAACACUUUAAUUUUUCCUUUUGUUCUUUCUUUUCUUUGGCACUCUAUAAUGUUCCCUAAACAACAAAAAUACCCUAAAAUAAAAUAAAUAGUAAAUAAGAUUUUUUUAUUUUGUAUUUGUAUAUUGUAUGUCAGUGUGCACAUGUGUGUGUUAUUGAAACAUUAUAGAGCUAUCCUUGUUUUAGCAAAGUAGUUGAUGCAUUAUGGAAAUAUACAUGGAAAAAAACCCAUACUAUUUCUUAAUCCUCUCUAUUGUAUGAGAAAAUAUUAGCAAGGAGAUCUGUUAAUGGUACUCCCUGCAGCCCCUUCCUAAUUGGUUUCUCUGAAAUCCAAAACUAACAUGAGGAAACCAGUAUAAAGAUGCCCCAGGCAUCUUGGAAACCCUGUGCUAAAAUUGACUGUGUUGCACAGAUUCUUUUGUCUUUCUGGAGUUGUUUCUAAAGACUCAUUUACAGUCAGCGCAUUGCUGUCUCUGAGUUUUCAAGGGCCUUUAAGACUUAGGUCCUGUGAGACUUUUGCGUCCCAAGAGGUGUCUUGGAGCAUGCUGGUAUUUAAGUAUGUGCUUCUUCUAUCAGGAAGUGAUUGCUGUUCUGUUAAUCCAACCGGAGAAUCACAUUGUGUAGAGAAAGGUUAGUUCUACAACCUUAGCUUGAAUAGGCCUUGACAGUAAUUCUGAAAAGUCUGAAAAAUGACAGAUAGUUUUUUACAACCUUAGCUUGAAUAGGCCUUGACAGUAAUUCUGAAAAGUCUGAAAAAUGACAGAUAGUUUUUUUUAAGUAAUCAUCCUAUAUUAAGUGUUUUUUUUUUUUUUUUUUUUUGUGGGGUCAUUUAUUACUCAACAAAUAUUCCUUGAAGACUUCCCAGGUUUCAGGCAGUAUUUCUGUGAGUAAGUAGCACAUAUAAGCCCACAAGAAUCUCCCCCCACCCCUGACACAAAAGUAACUUAUCUAUUAUGUGAAUGUAUCUUUAGUGUAAGUCUUGUUCUUACCUCUAGAACCAGUGGAGAUGAUUCUUUAUUCCACUUUAGUUUGAAGACAAGUGUUGUUGAAAAAAACAUAACAAUGAACUUAAUGUAUUAAGUUCUUUUUCUGCAGCUGAGAGGGCUGAGCCUGUGGGUAAAAUGUUUGCCGUCCAGGCAUGAGGACCUUAACUAGAACUUGGUUCCCCAAUACCCAUGUAAAAAGCCAGGAAUGGAAUUUCACAUCCCUUAUCCCAGGACUGAAUUGAAGACAGGAGAAACCUAGGUUCUCUGGCCAGCCUCUAUAGCCAGUGAAGUUCAGUAAGACCAUCGCUAAAAUUGAAUUGUAAAAUAAUAGCAGACAGUAACAUUUGUGUUCACCCUCCCUGUAUGUAUGCACAUAUAGGUGUACACACAUGCUUGCACACAUACACACACACACACAAAGUACUAAUGGAAAAUAAAAAUAUAUUUUUCUAUUUAUUUCAUUAUGACAUCUUUGGUUUGGUUUGGUUUGGUUUUGGUUUUUUAAUGUAAGGUAUUGCUAUGCUGCCUAGGCUGAUCUUGAACUCCUGGGCUUAAAUAUUCUUCAGUAGGUAGAAGUGUAGGUCUGUUGUACCUUGACUGGCUUUGUUUCCUAUUUAAACAAUAAAAUUUAGCCUGGCCAGGUGGCAUAUGCAGAAAUCAUAGCACUCAGGAGGCUGAGAGAGAAAGGUCACAAAUUCAAGAGCACUUUCUACUUUGUACUCUGUGCUACUACCUUAGCUACAUAAUUAGACUCUGUUUGAAGUUUUAGCUUUGAAAUAACUUUGCACAAGUUUGUUUUCUUCUAAUGAUAGCAUCCUGGAAAGCACAUUUAAAAGCUAUCCUUUCAAAUUCAAGUAACAUUUAUAAAAGUCAUAAAUUAUUAUUCUACUAAAAAUACUUUUUUAAAGAAAGCAUUGAGGACCAACGAAAAUCCUACUGAGUUAGGACAGAUAGAACAAUGAGUUAACAAAGAGUCCUUACAUGUGUAGGAACAAGGUCACGUUAGCAAUUUAAUUAGACUAUAUGUAAUUUGAACAGGUAUCAAAGAUCAUAGUAGACAUUAAAAUGAGGACAAUAGUUACAGAAAUUAACUUGAAAAGAGAAUUAUGUAACAGUCAGACUUUGCCAGUUAGUAUCCUGUUUGAUCUUAGACUUGCCAUUUUUGCUGAUAAAUUCUUAAAGAAGUUAGUUCCUACAUUAUUGCUAAGAACAGAGUGGCUGUUUUGGCCACUGACUAAAGUUAUAUAUUUUUUUCUUUUUUUCCCUCACUGUAUUUUGGGAAACAUUUUCUUUUGUGGUAUAAAGUCAGAAGCGAAAUAUGUCUAGUUUGAACUUAAAACAUCCUUUUAAAUUAUGGACUCUGAGCUUCAUCUGUGUUGUUUCUUUUUAAUGUUAUCUAAAGUUUUUAUGAUGCUGUGAUUGAACCCUUAUCUGUGCAUGCUUUAAGUACAUUAUUCCACAGUUGAACUAUAUACUGUUUUUAAACUCCUUUCUGUCACAUUGAUAGGAUUGAUUUUUUUUUUUUCUUUAGCUAUUACUCAACAUCUUGGGUUUCCUUCAGGAGUUUGUGGGCUGUUCUUGAGCUUUUUACUGGAGAUGUAGAAGCUGCUCACAUGAAGGAAGGGUGUGAUUCCCUUAUAUGUAUACUCCAUACUCACAAAUACAGCACCCUAAAACUGUUCAUAAUCCUUGAAACUCAGAUUCAGCCAUGACAGAUAAACUAAAUAGAAUAUUAUGAAAACCUUGAGAUUUAGCUUUGACCCAGGUAUAAUAUUCUAUAGGGGUGUUUUAUGCCAUCAUUGAAAUUAUGCUAUUUUCAAGAUCCAAAAAAAAGUUAUAUCAAAGUUUUGAUAUAAUACAUUGUGAUCUCUUCAAACCAUAUUUAAAGACCUUUUCAAAGAGUUUUAUAUUAACCUGAGAUGCCUUUUAUUGAGCAGUGCAAAUAUAGAUUGUAUUAUUACUUUGUUUCUGUUUUUCUGAAGGCGAGACACCUCCCACAGUGAAGUAACAUGGAGGAGCUGUUGACAACACGAUGUCUGUCUCUCAAACUCAAUGCUGCUCCUCAGAUUUGUUUCUAACUUUAAUUAGAGUUCACAAAUUGUUCAAUGUGCCUGAAAUUAAAUAUUAACAUGUUUCAGGGUAGCAUAAAAUUGCCUUUUUUGAAUAUCCAAGUAAUUCUAGAAGGAGUCAUUACAUUAAUCUGUUAUCACUUACGUCUCUCUUUUACUAAUGCCAAACUAAAGUAUGGGCGUAUAAAUAUAUUCUGUUGGUUAAUUAAGGAGUUAAUUUCUGAUACUUUAUUGUUUGCUGCAUUUAAUUUUAACAGUUUUCUUCAAAGCCGUUUUAUGGGUCUUUUGGAUGAAGGCCACAGGUGAAGAGACUGGAAUUGUUCAGUGUAAUUCCCUUCCUUUUUGACACUGACUCAGCAGAGUAAGAGUUUGUGUGUAAAUACUUUCUGUUUUCUUUGAAGCCAUGAUUUUACUGGUCUCAGUUCUACCAGUCUUUUGCAAAUAUAUGCAGAAUAUAUUUGCUGAUUUGCCUAGGAAAUCUAGUAAAUAAAUGAAUUUAAUGAUAUUUUUGUUAUGUUUAUUUUCAUGUUCCUGAAUAUUUCAACUCUGUAUUGGGAACAUAACUUAAAAAUAUUAAAGGACAAUUAAUUUUAAAGAUUCUGUUACAUGGGAAGAGAUGAUUUUCUUGAAUUAAAGGAAAUAGAAUUCUACUUUUGUUUCUGGUGAUUUUGGGGGGUCAUUUCACCUUCAUCUGUAAUAGCAAACAAUAUUUUCGUUCAUUUUGCUGUAGGCAUACUUUUUAAGUUGAAUUCUCAGAGCAGCUUUCUGUCGUUAGUGAUGUUGAUGAACCCUGACAAUAUUAAGUAGUGCACAUAUGGUACAAUGUAUGUACUUUAUUUGACUUUAUGCUGUAGUGAGUUAUCAGUAGUCCAUUUCUUUUAAAGUUGUAUGCAGUCAUUUAUGUUUUCUUAUUUAAUGUUAUGCAUACUUUCAGCCACCUUUGUUUUCAUUCUGUUUCCUAAAGACUACAUCUUUGAUUUUUAUCUUAAUUUUUUUAAUCCUCUCGUAGACUGAUCCCUGGUGUCUUAAUUUCCCAUACUGUAGUGGACCAUUGAUAUUUAUUAAGAAUCAUAUACAGUAGGUUCUAUCAUCAUAUCUCUAGCAAAGAGUGGAGUUGUUCUAUUUUCUUGCCAUAACAAACACUGGUGCUGCAAAGUUUCUAGUUCCAUUAAACUUGGAGGCUACUGGCAAGAGUUUACCUAUAUUUUGGCCUGAAAUCACUCUCUUAGUGGCCUGUCAUUGGCUGAGAACUGCAAUCAGAAGGGAAAGGAAAUGCUUCAAAAGUGAGUAAUGUCUAAUUGCCUUCAGCCUCAUGUGAUCUACUGUCUGAACACAAUGGUGAGGUUCUAGUUAGGCAGCUUAGAACAGUCUGAGAAAGCAGAAGUCGCUGCUUGUGUUUCCUCAGGCCUGAUCAGACUAGUUUUCACAACUCUGUUCUGGGAACAUUCGUACUUAAACAAAUUUGGAAAAUGUGGGUUAAUUUAAUUAAGCUUAUUUUUUUAUUACAGAACUUUCUUGAUUUGAUAUCAAAUUAAUAAGCACUUGUCUACCAAGAGGAAGAGUUAAUAUACAGAGCUUCAUAGACUUACGUGCUCAUGGAACUCCUUAAUUUCCCUUUGCUGAGAAGCUGUACAGAAAGUGUAAAGGAGAUAGUUGGCAGAUGUCAUAACUGUUUUCCUAGCUUACUUUUAAAUUUCCCAUCUAUAAGAUGGGAAAGAUUCAUCUUCCAAGUAUAAGGUGAUUUUUCAGAUGUUUAAUAAUGUGUCUAAAUAUAUAAAACCAGUUUCUUCCUACUUCCCAAGAUUUUGUCUCCUGAAAAUAAAGGACAGACUAUAUUUCUAAAACUGUAUGACCCUUUUUACGUCCUUAUGUUUUUAGGAAUUGGAUUUUAUUGCAUAAAACUGAAGCUUUUAUUUUAUCUAUUAUUAUUCAGAACUCAAUGAUCUUUUCAUUUUAUUUUAUCUAAUUCUGCAAAUUUUUAUAUAUUAACUUUAAGAUUUUGCUACUUGGGAAGAUUUCCAUUGUAACAUUCCUAAGAAGGCUUUUUUUUUUUUUUUUCUGAAAACUUUACCUAGUAGUCCACAGUUUUAUUUAUAUUUACAGUAAGGUAUUUUCAUAUUUGUUUUUCUCCAGUAAUCUAGCUUAAGAUAAAGUCUGAAGCUAUUUUGUUAAGAUGGCCUUGGUUGCUAAAUAAAAAGGUGCCCAAAGCACUUGUACAUGGAGGGGAGGAAUCGCAAGAGAUCAGAGCUUCUGUUCUCAAUCAACAUUUAUGUGGUUCUUUUUAUGAUAAGCUAGUGUGUUUUCUCCCGAGUCUUCAUAUAGUAUGAUUCUGACUCAUUAGAACUUGAAAGAAACCCUUACCCUCCACUUCUCAGGCUCUCUUGUUUUCCCCGUACCUUUCCUUAAAUCAGAUGAAUGAAAUCUCUAGAGUCUAAUUUCAACAUUUAUUUGUAAGAUCUUUUGAAGCUGGAAGGGUAUUCUUAUUUAAAAAAUUAUCCCUUUUCAGAUACUUAGGAGGGGGUCAGAUUUUACAGUUGGGUGCAGUGGUAGAAAUAAAAGGAAUUGUGUAAAUAAUCAGCGAUUGUACACCAUAACUGCUGUCUCCUAAAGUUGGUGGUGUCAGAGUUUUAAGUCCAUAUAACCACUGAGUUGGUACUCAAACAGUGGAAGGGAGUCAAUAAUUAUUGAGUAAUUAGUGAGGUUGUGGUAUCAAAGACUCCUUCCUAGACACCAAACCUAAACAUCACAGCUCCUUAUGUGUAGAUUUUACCAAGGUCUGUGCUCUUUUUGUGUAAAUACUUCUCUCUAAAAUAGAUUGGUUGUGUAUGUGAAGUGAGAGAUAUAUUUUGCUCUCUAGUGACCAGCUACCUGGUAAAUAUUGGUAAGACCACCAUCAAACCAAACGGCACAGCCUGGCAGCAUUGCUAGCCUGGUUCCAGGUUAUACUUUUGUUACACAUGCCAUGUGAGUGGGACAGCUUGGAGAGAGUAAUCUUGGAAGCUCAACCUUGAUUUUCUAAAACUCUGAUUUUCUUUGGUAAUCAUUUCCUGCUAUGUUAAAAAUUAUGCAUAAUUUUCUUUCUUUUCUCAGAUGGUGUGUGUAAUUAGGGUCAGUCCUUUGAGUCACGAUUUUAAAAGAGCUAAUUAUACAAAGCAUGGCAUUAGAAGUCAGCUUAAUUUAGUAACUCUGUAUGCUUCAAACUCUAAAAGUUAUGACCAUAUAAUCUUUUUAAGUAUUGGUAAUUAUUUUUGGUACCACUUAAUGAAUGACUUAGGACAACAUAAUAGGUACUUAUCUGAAAAGACCUAGUUAAAGUUUGCAGUGAUACAGAAAAGCUACAGAAACGUACUUUUUCUGAUAUGAUAACCAAAAAGAAUGCUAGACUUCAAAAUUUGAAAAUAAGAAACAGGCCUUAAACAUAUCAAGAACUCAAGAUGGUUAUACUUUAUAUUUGUUAUCUCUUUUAGGAGCUCCCCCUCACUUAUGUUCCCUUCACUGCUUCUUCUUCCCUAUCCAAGCCUUUUCCCUUUAUUCUGUUCUCUUUGUUAUACUUCUCAUUUUGAAGAUAUCAAGUGAAUAACUGUUAGGGUCAGUACUUUCCAACUCAGAGAGGACUGCGCUUCAAUUGGUGUCUGGUGAAAAGGGGUAAUUGUUUGAGACUCAGGAAAUGACUAACAACUUUGGGCAUGAAUACUUUGAUGUCCUCAGUGUUCAUUUGUAUAAAUGUUUACUUUGCCCUUGACCCCACUUGUCCUCAAGAAGACUAUCAGGGUCUGAAAUGUGUGACUAUUUGGUUCAGAAAGGUCCAGAAAUGAUGAAAAGGUGACCAUGGGCAUAGGUAAUUUGAAUUGUGUCUUUUUUUUCUUUAGGACAUUAGAAAAUUAAAUAAAAUUUCCCCUUGAAUUUAUUAAUAUUUUGUUAGAAAUGCAAAGAUUAAAAUGCACCCUCUUAAGAAAAGUUAAUAUAUUAUUCUCCAAGCUAGAUAGUGGAAAGUCUAAAUUUUGUUAUAGAAAUUUAAUUUAAAAAGCAACACUUAAUAUUUUAGACGUAAUUUAGAAAAGAAUAUAGGUGAUAUCAAAACGAUAAUGCAUACACAUUUCUUUUGAAAGUACUUAAUGAAAAAACUGAAUGCGUGUACUUCUCAUUCUAAUGAUUAUAAGUUAAAUAGGGCAUAAUCAGUUAGUGAAGAUGGUUAUAGGGUGAUGAGCUGUCUCUCAGUGGGAAGUACUACUGGUAGGCUCCUGCCUGGCUCUUCAUCAGUUUCAGGAACAUUCUUACAAUGUAAUUUAAAAGAUGUAACUGAACCUAUUAAACAAAACAUUGAGCAAACUGCUUUAAAUCUUAAUAGUAAAAAAUAAAUUUCUAAAGUGACAAUUAUUAAUUAUGCUUUUAGAUAUUUGUGAAUUUUACAUGAAUAGAAAAAGAAAUCUAGCCAAAUAUAACUUUGGCCAUUACCUUUUAUUGCCAUCCUUGAACCCAAGAUUAGUAAAUGUUCCAGAUUCGCUGUGCGCUAUCCUAAAAGGAUGUGGUGGAAAGGGUCGCAGAAAGAGUCAGAUGUGUGCUCUGCUCAGCCUUUGAAAGAAGGGAAAGGGCAGGGCUGGUCAUGGGCAAAUUACUUCCACCUCCCUUUCUGCCCCUGCUUCAGCUCCAGGGGAGCUGGGAAUGCACAGAAGGAAUCAGAAGACCUGGGUUCCAGUCCCGGCUCUGCCACUUACUACCUAUGUGACCUUGGGCAGAUUGACUGGGAAAACUGAAGCAAAUCUUCUUCCCCUGUAUGUUCUGUGCUCCUCAGAGGUCUCACUGGCAACCUAGAUCCCUGACCUAAGGAAAUUCAAGAAGUGUGAUGCCUGUGUCUUUGGUCAGCCCUUUUAGGACAACAUGGUUCAGCUUCCUUUUUUCGGAAAGUGCUGGUUUACCCUCCACCAACUUAAUUGAUAAUGCUUGCCUUUCUGGGAUUUCGGUUAUGAAGGGUGAAUGGAACUGAGGAAUAUGAUAUGCUUUCUUGAUCACACACCUGGCUUCAGACCAAGUGAUCCCUUUAGGUUUAAGGAAAGCGUGAUGCUCUGUUUGGUUGACCUUUUCCCACAGUCUAAGAAUGCAUAGUCUGGCACUAUGAAUAACAGUAGCCAUUUCCCAUGGACUGCCUGCCAUUAAUGCCUGAUUGCCAUGCAGCACAGUAACACUCAUAUCAUUAUUAGAUUAAUUUUAUUAAAAUUUUGCUUUUUUUAAGCCUUGAACCAUUGACUUACACUUCAUAUGGUUUCUUGCUGAAGUAGCAGUGCCAUCUCUUAGAACUAAGACUCAGUUACAAAUGCAGAUUGAAACAAUAAACAGCACAGUUUAAAUUUAUCAAUCAAUGGAAAAAUUUUAAUGACACUCAGGGUGUCAAGGAUACCAUUAAGUAGGAAUGCUGAUACAGCGCUGAAGGCUGUAUAAAUUGAUAAGAUCUUUUUUGACCACCCCCACCCCAAGAUAACAGAGUACUCAAAUUUAAAGCCAGUCAUUCUGUCCUUGCUGAUGUCGCCAAGGAAUCAGUAAUGGAAUUGCAGCACCAUACAGCAAGAAACUGAAAGCUGUUUGUCUGACAGUAAAAAAUGCUGAAUUAUUAUCUGACAAAAAAACAUCACAAUGAAAUCUGUGAUAAAUGUUAACAAUUUACAGGCCUGAAUGAAAAUAUAUCAACAGUUGUUUUAAAGUAAUGAAGUUACACGUAACUGCUGUGUAUGUAUAUUCUGUCUUACAAACUUCCUAUAAUUUUCCAUUAUGUCUUCAUUUGGAAAAGUCAAAGCAAACAAGCUGAACAAGAAUUCUUCUGUGACAGUUCAUCCCUCAGUUUAUUUUUUUUCCCAUGCCUUCCUGAAGUACACUUGAUACAUGGACAAGACAACCUUUCUGUGUUUAUUGCGCUUAAGCUAGCCUGCUGCCACUCCUCCACUUUCCAGUGGACGUUCUCGCUGGGGCUCUUCUAAAAGUCUCUCCAGCCUAAUGAGCAGAUUGUUGCCCAAAGCAACAAUUCAGUUUUUAGAAAAUGCCUCUAGAAAUAGUUUUCUAGAAUUUUCUAGUACUAUUAAUAUAACAUUAACAUCUUUCAGGAUCCGUUUCUAAGAUUUUAUUUUAUGUGUAUAAGUCUUUUGCCUCUAUGUAUGUUUGUUCACUACCUGUAUGAAUUGGCUUGAGGAAGAGAGACAAGAGCAUCAAAUCCCCGGGAACUGGAGUUACAGAGGGCUGUGAGCCGCCAUUUGAGUGCUAGGAAUCAAAGCAGGGCACUCUAAAAGAGCAGCCAGUACUCCCAACCUGAGCCAUCUUACAGCCCGUACAGUAGCUUUUUGAGCUCAUCUGGAUGCCAGAUAUUAACACAUUCAAUAGCAAAUGUUAAAUGUCCGUGUCCAUGUCUGUGUGUCCGUGAGUGUGUGUGCCUUGUGUUGAGUGGGGGAGUGCUGCUUUAAAUUCUGUUGUUUGCUAUACUUAUUGUUCUUUUGCAGGGGAGAUAUUUCAGUUAAAGGAGCAAGAAAAUAAGAUAGGAAAUUACUUUUAAAAACUACUCUGUAGCUGGGUAUGGUAAUACAUGCCAACUCCCUCCACUAAGAAAGCUGAGCUUAGUAGUUUGAGAUCAGCCUAGGUAACAUAUAAAACCCAUGUCAAAAUCAAUAGCAGUAAACAAACAAACAAGACAAAACAGAAAACCUUUAAUCUUAUGAGGUAUAACCUAAACUGUUGACUUGUCUGCUUAUUACUGACUCUUUCAUGAAGAGAACGUGAGAACUUGUAGCAGUGGUUCUCACCCUUUCAUACAGUUGCUCAUGUCGUGGGGACCCCCAACCAUAGAAUUAUUUCAUUGCUACUUCAUAACUAUAGUAUUGCUACUGUUAUGAAUCAUAAUAUAAAUAUCUGAUAUGUGGGAUAUCUGAUAUGCAACCCAUAUGAAAGCGAUCAUGGUCCACAGGUUGAAAUAUAAUGUAAGUUAUAAUCUUACAUUAUGGCCAGACAACUUAGAAAAACAGCUUGUCUCAAAGACCAUGGUAUUGAAUGUUUUAAAACUUUUUAAAUAUGAAAUAUGGGAAUUUUUAAAUUACAAAGCUGAUGAACCUCUCUUACUCAAGAUGUACCAGGGUAGCACUUUCUUGAGUAAAUUGAGGAGCUUGCUGGUUAAGUAUACAGUGGAGAAGUGUUUGUGUUCAUCCAGACUUCUGGAGGUAAAUAUCUUAGAAUCUAUAAUCGUAAACAAACAAUUCGUUGUGAAGAUUCUUUCUUUGGUGAAUUUGACUACUUGAUUUUUUUUUUCUAGUAGUCACGUUCUUGAAGGAGUUAGACUCUAUCUCAGCAGAUACCAAAGAAGAGAAAAACUUUUAUCUUGGAAGAAAUUUGUAAUAAAAUUAGUAUGUUUGAUAAGCUGGUAUGACUUGUUUCUGUGAAAACACUGCCUCAAUGCUCGUUUUUCACUGGAAGAAAAGUGGACAUGGUACUUCUCAAGUUCUUCCUCUCUCUUCGGUACUGUGUUGGUUAUUAAUGGGAGAUUGUAAAAAUAAUUUUGUAUAAAAUGCAAAAUAAGAGCUAGUUUGGCAUUUAAGUGUUGGGUUCGUAAUCUCUGAAGUCACUAGGAUAAAACAAUAGACUAAUUCGGUUCAAACUAAUAAAAGAAAAAGUGAUUGUGCUUUAUCUAAUAUUGCAAAGAAUAGAACAUUACAUUUAGGAACUAAUAACAAUAUCUCACUUUAAGGAAUUAGCUCUUAGGCUAAUUCAUUUAGAUGCCAUAGCUGCAAUGGAUAACGUUGAUAUUUCAGGGUAUCUUAGUUUAGUGAAAAUAGAUUGUGUUCAGUGUAGAUAACUUGGGGUGGUUUGUGCUCUGUAAGAAGAAAUUUAGCAUCCACAUGCUAUGUCUAUUUAAAAUGUGAGGUUUAUACUUAUAUAAAGCUUCCUAGAAUUUAUGAGAUUCGCCUAAUCUCUUCUAGCGUAUUCAUCCACUGCAGUAGAUGAAAAAAACAUGAAUUUGAUAAUCUACCACAGCCUGUGCAAAAAUCUCAGUUAUGUUUUCUUCUGAAAAAUAGCAAUAAUAAUAAACUCAAGAUUUUGGUGAGCUGCAUAGAAACGGCUCGCUGAACAUCUACUCAGUUCCAAAUGCCUGCUCUGUGGAUUCUUGAUCACU